AGCCGCGUGCCCACGGCAGGUGGCGGCGAGCACGUGGCCGCGCGCGGGCACACGGUCCCGCAUCCCCUCGCGCGCUUUCCCGACACCCACCCGCCACUCGCGUCCCGCCACCGCCACCGCCAGGCUGCGACAAAACUGGGGGGAGCCGGGUCAUCCCCAGGCAGAGCUGGGCUCCGGCCGGGCCGGCGGAGAGACCGCCCGGCAGUUCCCAAGACCCCGGCCGCGGCCGCACCGAUCCCGUAAAUCCGUCCCCACGCCGGCGUGCCCGCGGAGUAAAAGAAGUUCAGUCUAAAGAUGUUUAUAAGAGGUGUUUAUUAUAAAAUAAGUAGGUGAGGGCUGAUACUGCCAUGAAGCAUGAUGGACUCUGUGCAGCAUGGAGGAUGUAUCCGAUAGGAGUUACAAAGCAAAUACACACCGUGUAAGUGGCAAGUAAAUGUGAAGGUAGAACUCGUGUGGUCUGAGCAGUGCUGUGAAUGUAACAGAUAAAUAAACCUUUCGUUUGUUAUUUCAAACUAUUUUUUAAAAAAUUCAAAAGCAAUAAAAAGACAUGUAAGUCAACUGAGAAAUAACUGGGAAAAAAUCUCAGAUAAAUCUUCUGCCCCAUAAAUAGCUCAGUACUUUCCUAGUCACAUGCUGUUUCCUCCGAACUGAACAAUACAAAGAGUGCAUCUUAAAAUAAAAAAUCCUCACCAUUA